rnacentral:rRNA from 1 species
GACGAACGCUGGCGGCAUGCCUAAUACAUGCAAGUCGAGCGAAGUUUUUCUGGUGCUUGCACUAGAAAAACUUAGCGGCGAACGGGUGAGUAACACGUAAAGAACCUGCCUCAUAGACUGGGACAACUAUUGGAAACGAUAGCUAAUACCGGAUAACAGCAUUAACUGCAUGGUUGAUGUUUAAAAGUUUGUUUUGCUAACACUAUGAGAUGGCUUUGCGGUGCAUUAGCUAGUUGGUGGGGUAAAGGCCUACCAAGGCGACGAUGCAUAGCCGACCUGAGAGGGUGAUCGGCCACACUGGGACUGAGACACGGCCCAGACUCCUACGGGAGGCAGCAGUAGGGAAUCUUCCGCAAUGGGCGAAAGCCUGACGGAGCAACGCCGCGUGAGUGAAGAAGGAUUUCGGUUCGUAAAGCUCUGUUGUUAGGGAAGAAUGAUUGUGUAGUAACUAUACACAGUAGAGACGGUACCUAACCAGAAAGCCACGGCUAACUACGUG